AUUGAACGCUGGCGGCAGGCUUAACACAUGCAAGUCGAGCGGGGUGAUGGUGCUUGCACUAUCACUUAGCGGCGGACGGGUGAGUAAUGCUUAGGAAUCUGCCUAUUAGUGGGGGACAACAUCUCGAAAGGGAUGCUAAUACCGCAUACGUCCUACGGGAGAAAGCAGGGGAUCACUUGUGACCUUGCGCUAAUAGAUGAGCCUAAGUCGGAUUAGCUAGUUGGUGGGGUAACGGCCUACCAAGGCGACGAUCUGUAGCGGGUCUGAGAGGAUGAUCCGCCACACGGGGACUGAGGAGCGGCCACGGCUCCUACGGGAGGCAGCAGGGGGGAAUAUUGGACAAUGGGGGGAACCCUGAUCCAGCCAUGCCGGGUGUGUGAAGAAGGCCUUAUGGUUGUACAGCACUUUAAGCGAGGAGGAGGCUCUUUUGUUUAAUACCCAAGAUGAGGGGACGUUACUCGCAGAAUAAGCACCGGCUAACUCUGUGCCAGCAGCCGCGGUAA
rnacentral:rRNA from 1 species